rnacentral:rRNA from 1 species
GCCAAGGAGGGUUUGAUCGUGGCUCAGGGCGAACCCUGGCGGCGCGCCUCACCCAUGCAAGCCGAGCGACACAGGUCGGGCAACCGGCCUGUGGAGCGGCGAACGGCCGAGUAAUACACAGGUAACCUACCCUCAGGAAGGGGAUAACCUGGGGAAACCCAGGCUAAUACCCUAUAAGCCCACAUCUCGGAUGGGAUGUGGGAAAAGGGUGCCAGGGUAAAACCUGGUGCCGCCUGAGGAUGGGCCUGUGUCCCAUCAGCUAGUUGGUGGGGUAAUGGCCCACCAAGGCUAUGACGGGUAGCCGACCUGAGAGGGUGGUCGGCCGGACCGGCACUGAGACACGGGCCGGACUCCUACGGGAGGCAGCAGGGGGGAAUCUUGGGCAAUGGGUGAAAGCCUGACCCAGCGACGCCGCGUGCGGGAAGAAGCCCUUCGGGGUGUAAACCGCUGUCGGGAGGGACAAAGAGCUCCCCAAAAGGGAGCUUGAUGGUACCUCCGGAGGAAGGGACGGCUAACUCCGUGCCAGCAGCCGCGGUAAUACGGAGGUCCCAAGGGUUGCCCGGAGUGACUGGGCGUAAAGGGUCCGUAGGCGGCCUGGUAAGUCUCCCGUGAAAGCUGCCCGCUCAACGGGCAGAGGUCGGGAGAUACUGCUGGGCUCGGGACCGGCAGGGGGGACCGGAAUUCCCGGUGUAGCGGUGAAAUGCGUAGAUAUCGGGAGGAACGCCGAUGCCGAAGGGGGGUCCCUAGGCCGGCUCCGACGCUGAGGGACGAAAGCUGGGGGAGCGAACCGGAUUAGAGACCCGGGUAGUCCCAGCCGUCAACGAUGGGUGCUAGGGGGCGGGGUAAAUCCUCGCGCCCGAAGCUAACGCGUUAAGCACCCCGCCUGGGGAGUACGGCCGCAAGGCCGAAACUCAAACGAAUUGACGGGGACCCGAACAAGCCGCGGUGCAUUUGGUUUAAUUCGAUGCAGCGCGAAGAACCUUACCCGGGCUUGACAUGCCAGCUCAAGCCUGCCCGAAAGGGUAAGGUGGGCUGGGCGAUAAGUCCAGCCAGCUGGCACAGGUGCUACAUGGCUGUCGUCAGCUCGUGCCGUGAGGCGUCGGGUUAAGUCCCAGAACGAGCGCAACCCCUGCCCGCUGUUGCCAUUCCCCGAGAGGGGAGGCACUCUGCGGGGACUGCCGGCGAAGAGUCGGAGGAAGGAGGGGACGACGUCAAGCCCGCAUGGCCCUUAUGCCCGGGGCUACACAAGUGCAACAAUGGCCGGGACAAAGGGAUGCGAGGCCGCAAGGCUGAGCAAAUCCCAAAAACCCGGUCUCAGUUCGGAUCGGGGUCUGCAACCCGACCCCGUGAAGGCGGAGUGGCUAGUAAUCGCGGAUCAGCUACGCCGCGGUGAAUACGUUCCCGGGUCCUGUACACACCGCCCGUCACGCCAUGGAAGUCACCUGCACAGGAAAUCCCCAAAAGGGACGAAUGUGUGGGUGGCGACUGGGGCGAAGUCGUAACAAGGUACCCCUACCGGAAGGUGGGGGUGGAUCACCUCCUUU